UCCUGGCGACCAUAGCGGUCCGGCCCCACCUGAUCCCAUCCCGAACUCAGAAGUGAA
rnacentral:rRNA from 1 species